AGCGGGGGCCGGAAGUGGACAUCACGCCUUCUCCUACCCAGACAGAGCCGCUGCAGAGCACACAGCGACUCGUACUAUGAGCAACGUGGCUCCCCUGGAAACAGUCAUUCAAGUGUCUUCGGCGGUGCUGCUGCUGUCACUAUGCUUGUAGGUAUCUCCCCUCCCUCCUGGCUGUAGCCAAAUUUAAAGCCCAAAGAAUUGGCUGAUUCAACCCUUCAGGCACCAAGGUAUUCAGCACAGGCACAUGGAACCCGGAUCCUAGACAUCGGGAGAUGGCAAAAGAGCCAGAGCUUUUGGAGAACAAGAGACAAGCCUUUGGUCUCUCGAUGUGUUCUGAGAGCCAAAAAUGUUUGUGCCAACUUAGACUUCAUUACUGGAAACACAGCAUGCCACACAAAGAAUAAAAUGCCCACUUCCCCUGGACUGCCCUGAGCCAAGCCACAUCCAUACAACACUCCUACCAAUCCUGGGUGCUACCAGUCACAUACAAAAGGAUUGAGGACUCAAAACUCCUGAAGCUGUAACAGAGAUGGACGACGGAGCUCAGGGAUGGACCAUUGCUUUGAUUCUUUUUGUACUGCUGUGAUAAAAUACUCUGAGGCAACCUACAUAACGAGGGGCUUACUUGGGCGUAUGGUUUCGGAGAGUCCUUCAGUCAGAAUCAUGGCAGCAUGGCGACUGAGAGCUCACAUCUUCAACCAUAAGCAGUAAGUAGACAGAGUGAACUGGGAAUGGCUCUUGGCUUUGGAAGCCUCAAAGGUUAGCCCCAGUGACAUAACAUACUACUUCCAGCAAGGCCACACCUUCUAAAUUUACCCAAACAGUGCCAUCAACUGGUGACCAACUGUUAAAACGUCAGCGCCUAUAGUGGUCAUUCUCAUUCAAAGCACAGCAUGCAUGCUAUGAGCCGAGUCCAAUCCUCAGUCCCACUCCCAAAAUAAAAACACAGUUUCAGAAGAGCAGAUGGGGCUAGAGAGAUGGCUCAGCAGUAAAAGUGUGUGUUCUUACACAACCCUGUGUUCACUUCUCAGUAUCCACAGAUCGGCUCACACACAUCCGUAACUCCAGUUCCUGACCUUCCCAGGCACCAGGCAUACAAAUGAUACCCAGACCUACAUUUAAGCAAAAUGCUCUUAAGAGUUGGGAUGCCGAGAUUUACAGCCAUUAUGCCCAGCUCUGAUUUCUGUUGUCAGUGGUAGUUUGGGGGUAUGCCUUUUUAUUGAAGUCCACGAAUGAAGAGAAGUAGAUUUAAUUUCCUGACUCGUGACUUUUGCAUGGUCUAGAUUAUCUAUAACAGGUGAUUUUGCUUCUGUUUUUAUGAAGCCAUGUGAAACUGAGGACAAGGCUAAUAAUGAAAAAGGUACUGUAAGGCAUGACUAUGCAACUUUAUAUCCCAAUCAAACAAAACUAUUAAGUACCAAAUAUAAAGUACAAAGUAAGUUUGCAAGGGCUAGACCUCUCUGCACCUUCCACAUCGAGUUUACCUCAGUUUACAAGGAGGAGAGGAGAAAACAUUUUAAAGUUUAAUUUCUACUUUUAUCCAUCCUUCCUCUUUCUGUCCCUCCUACACUACUCAUUAUCCAGUCCAAGAUACAGUUUGUAGUCAGUUAUAUAAUACACAGGUAACUUGGUGCAGUGACUCAGCACAUAAGAGGUAGAGACAGGUGGAGCUCUGUGAGAUAUAGUCCAGCCUGGUCUACAUAGUGAGUUCCAGCCAGGACACAGUGAGACCCAGUACUCUACUUAAUAAGGGCACUUAAGUGCUUUAACCCCCCUUCUAGUGCACCACCCACCAGAGGUAGUAGAAAGGGAAGGUUAAUAGGGAAAAAGAAGAUGUGGACCUGUUUAGAAGUAGUUCUUUAGGUCCGAUCUAAUCUUCAAUGUCUGGGUAGCAGCAGUUCAGUUCACAAGCUCCAUCCAUUUGCAAACACCAAAUCAGCCAUGGCAGUUCGAUCUAGAAUGAACCUGGAGGCUCUGUCGAUUGGCCUGAAUCUGCUGAAGCAGCAAGAAGCCCCUGGAACACCACCAGAAGUUCUUUGGUGUGUCUCUCUCUUCAAAAUCACAGCAAAUGAUCAGCAAAGAAGGCAAGGCAACCAAUGCCACACAGUCUGGGCCACUGCCCGUUGGGUUAUAGUUAUACCGUCUCCAAACUCAAGGCUGCUCUCAAGUGUCCACUCCAGCAAAUCAUCACAUACCCUUUUUUCCAGGUAGCUUCCAGAAAAACACCAUGUGUCUGUUCUCAGCAAACCAUCCUCCCACAUGUCUGCUUCAGUAAAAACAUCCUCUCAUAAGACAGCUUCCAGAAAAACAUCACAUGACACAACUACGUCUCCAAAGAAACCAGAAAUUUCCACUUCCAUUCCCCUCUCUUUAAACAGCUCUGCAGUAAGCUGAGGUAAACUUGAUGUAGAAAAGUGCAAUGCUACUUUGAGUCCUUAAUGUUUAAGCCUAUAAAGAGAGAAGUAUAAAUCCCACCUGAGAAUGGCUCAACAGUGCCUGCCCAAGAUACAGUAUCUGUGGCUGCUGCUGCCAUCUUGUGACCAGGAGAGGAAGUAGCACACAUAGGGCUGGGAAACAGAGGUGGCCAUUGGGUCAUUGACUCUUAGAAACAGCCUUUCUGUGUAUGUUCCGUUCACCUUGGCAACCUUGAGAUGUCUGUAUUUAGGGAUGAUAAAAUGCUUUGUCGAUUUUAA